UACGUAGGGGGCAAGCGUUGUCCGGAAUCAUUGGGCGUAAAGCGCGUGUAGGCGGUUCGAUAAGUCUGCUGUGAAAGUCCAGGGCUCAACCCUGGAAAGCCGGUGGAUACUGUCGGACUAGAGUGCGGAAGAGGCAAGUGGAAUUUGUAGUGUAGCAGUGAAAUGCGUAGAUAUUACAAGGAACACCAAUGGCGAAGGCAGCUUGCUGGGCUUUUUCUGACGCUGAGGUACGAAAGCGUGGGGAGCGAACAGG
rnacentral:rRNA from 1 species